AGCUCCAAUAGCGUAUAUUAAAGUUGUUGCAGUUAAAAAGCUCGUAGUUGGAUUUCGGAGUGGGCCAGUUGGUCCGCCGCAAGGUGUGUUACUGACUGGUCUGCUCUUCUUCGCAAAGACUGCGUGUGCUCUUUGUUGAGUGUGCGUAGGAUUUACGACGUUUACUUUGAAAAAAUUAGAGUGUUCAAAGCAGGCUAUUGCUUGAAUACAUGAGCAUGGAAUAAUGGAAUAGGACUUUGGUCCCAUUUUGUUGGUUUCUAGGACCGAAGUAAUGAUUAAGAGGGACAAUUGGGGGCAUCCGUAUUUCGUUGUCAGAGGUGAAAUUCUUGGAUUUACGAAAGACGAACAACUGCGAAAGCAUUUGCCAAGAGUGUUUUCAUUAAUCAAGAACGAAAGUACG
rnacentral:rRNA from 1 species